rnacentral:rRNA from 1 species
UACAGAGGUCUCAAGCGUUUGUUCGGGAUUCAUUGGGCGUAAAAGGGUGCGUAGGCGGCGCGGUAAGUCGGGGUGUGAAAUCUCGGAGCUUAACUCCGAAACUGCAUUUCGAUACUGCCGUGCUUUGAGGACUGGAGAGGAGACUGGAAUUUACGGUGUAGCGGUGAAAUGCGUAGAUAUCGUAAGGAAGACCAGUGGCGAAGGCGGGUCUCUGGACAGUUCCUGACGCUGAGGCACGAAGGUCAGGGGAGCAAACGGGG